CACUAAGAAGCUACCUUCAGCAUUAGCCUUUUAAGCUAAAGAGGGGUAACUUACCCCUUAGUGAU
rnacentral:tRNA from 1 species